rnacentral:rRNA from 1 species
GGGUUGUGAGGUUAAGCGACUAAGCGUACACGGUGGAUGCCCUGGCAGUCAGAGGCGAUGAAGGGCGUGCUAAUCUGCGAUAAGCGCCGGUAAGGUGAUAUGAACCGUUAUAACCGGCGAUACCCGAAUGGGGAAACCCAGUGUGAUUCGUCACACUAUCAUUAACUGAAUCCAUAGGUUAAUGAGGCGAACCGGGGGAACUGAAACAUCUAAGUACCCCGAGGAAAAGAAAUCAACCGAGAUUCCCCCAGUAGCGGCGAGCGAACGGGGAGGAGCCCAGAGCCUGAAUCAGCAUGUGUGUUAGUGGAAGCGUCUGGAAAGGCGCGCGAUACAGGGUGACAGCCCCGUACACAAAAGCGCAUGUGCUGUGAGCUCGAUGAGUAGGGCGGGACACGUGGUAUCCUGUCUGAAUAUGGGGGGACCAUCCUCCAAGGCUAAAUACUCCUGACUGACCGAUAGUGAACCAGUACCGUGAGGGAAAGGCGAAAAGAACCCCGGCGAGGGGAGUGAAAAAGAACCUGAAACCGUGUACGUACAAGCAGUGGGAGCACAGGUUUACCUGUGUGACUGCGUACCUUUUGUAUAAUGGGUCAGCGACUUAUAUUCUGUAGCAAGGUUAACCGUAUAGGGGAGCCGUAGGGAAACCGAGUCUUAACCGGGCGUUAAGUUGCAGGGUAUAGACCCGAAACCCGGUGAUCUAGCCAUGGGCAGGUUGAAGGUUGGGUAACACUAACUGGAGGACCGAACCGACUAAUGUUGAAAAAUUAGCGGAUGACCUGUGGCUGGGGGUGAAAGGCCAAUCAAACCGGGAGAUAGCUGGUUCUCCCCGAAAGCUAUUUAGGUAGCGCCUCGUGAAUUCAUCUCCGGGGGUAGAGCACUGUUUCGGCUAGGGGGCCAUCCCGGCUUACCAACCCGAUGCAAACUGCGAAUACCGGAGAAUGUUAUCACGGGAGACACACGGCGGGUGCUAACGUCCGUCGUGAAGAGGGAAACAACCCAGACCGCCAGCUAAGGUCCCAAAGUCAUGGUUAAGUGGGAAACGAUGUGGGAAGGCCCAGACAGCCAGGAUGUUGGCUUAGAAGCAGCCAUCAUUUAAAGAAAGCGUAAUAGCUCACUGGUCGAGUCGGCCUGCGCGGAAGAUGUAACGGGGCUAAACCAUGCACCGAAGCUGCGGCAGCGAACGUAUCACUUAAAGCGAUUCAGCGGGUUACGAUUGACGGAGCGAAGCGACGUCAAAGCGUAUACAAAGUCGAGUCGGUUUAAGGAUACGUUCGUUGGGUAGGGGAGCGUUCUGUAAGCCUGCGAAGGUGGCCUGUGAGGGUUGCUGGAGGUAUCAGAAGUGCGAAUGCUGACAUAAGUAACGAUAAAGCGGGUGAAAAGCCCGCUCGCCGGAAGACCAAGGGUUCCUGUCCAACGUUAAUCGGGGCAGGGUGAGUCGACCCCUAAGGCGAGGCCGAAAGGCGUAGUCGAUGGGAAACGGGUUAAUAUUCCCGUACUUGGUGUUACUGCGAAGGGGGGACGGAGAAGGCUAUGUUGGCCGGGCGACGGUUGUCCCGGUUUAAGCGUGUAGGUGUGUGUUCCAGGUAAAUCCGGUUCACUUUAACACUGAGGCGUGAUGACGAGGCACUACGGUGCUGAAGCAACAAAUGCCCUGCUUCCAGGAAAAGCCUCUAAGCAUCAGGUAACAUCAAAUCGUACCCCAAACCGACACAGGUGGUCAGGUAGAGAAUACCAAGGCGCUUGAGAGAACUCGGGUGAAGGAACUAGGCAAAAUGGUGCCGUAACUUCGGGAGAAGGCACGCUGACACGUAGGUGAAGUGAUUUACUCAUGGAGCUGAAGUCAGUCGAAGAUACCAGCUGGCUGCAACUGUUUAUUAAAAACACAGCACUGUGCAAACACGAAAGUGGACGUAUACGGUGUGACGCCUGCCCGGUGCCGGAAGGUUAAUUGAUGGGGUCAGCGCAAGCGAAGCUCCUGAUCGAAGCCCCGGUAAACGGCGGCCGUAACUAUAACGGUCCUAAGGUAGCGAAAUUCCUUGUCGGGUAAGUUCCGACCUGCACGAAUGGCGUAAUGAUGGCCAGGCUGUCUCCACCCGAGACUCAGUGAAAUUGAACUCGCUGUGAAGAUGCAGUGUACCCGCGGCAAGACGGAAAGACCCCGUGAACCUUUACUAUAGCUUGACACUGAACAUUGAGCCUUGAUGUGUAGGAUAGGUGGGAGGCUUUGAAGUGUGGACGCCAGUCUGCAUGGAGCCGACCUUGAAAUACCACCCUUUAAUGUUUGAUGUUCUAACGUGGACCCGUGAUCCGGGUUGCGGACAGUGUCUGGUGGGUAGUUUGACUGGGGCGGUCUCCUCCUAAAGAGUAACGGAGGAGCACGAAGGUUGGCUAAUCCUGGUCGGACAUCAGGAGGUUAGUGCAAUGGCAUAAGCCAGCUUGACUGCGAGCGUGACGGCGCGAGCAGUGCGAAAGCACGUCAUAGUGAUCCGGUGGUUCUGAAUGGAAAGGCCAUCGCUCAACGGAUAAAAGUACUCCCGGGGAUAACAGCUGAUACCGCCCAAGAGUUCAUAUCGACGCGGUGUUUGGCACCUCGAUGUCGGCUCAUCACAUCCUGGGGCUGAAGUAGUCCCAAGGGUAUGGCUGUUCGCCAUUUAAAGUGGUACGCGAGCUGGGUUUAGAACGUCGUGAGACAGUUCGGUCCCUAUCUGCCGUGGAGGACCGGAGUGGACGCAUCACUGGUGUUCGGGUUGUCAUGCCAAUGGCACUGCCCGGUAGCUAAAUGCGGAAGAGAUAAGUGCUGAAAGCAUCUAAGCACGAAACUUGCCCCGAGAUGAGUUCUCCCUGAGACUUAGAGUCUCCUGAAGGAACGUUGAAGACGACGACGUUGAUAGGCCGGGUGUGUAAGCGCAGCGAUGCGUUGAGCUAACCGGUACUAAUGAACCGUGAGGCUUAACCUUACAACGCCGAAG